UUAAGAGAUCGACAAUAUGGCAAGAGUAAAUAUGGCAAGAGUUCAUGUAUGAAGAUCUUCCCGAUCUCUUUUGUGGUUGUGGCAAAAUCAGAGUGUUGCUAGAAGCUUGUGGUUGUGAAGGUGAAAAAAGAGGCCGCUUUUUUUAUGGACCGUGGAUUAUGGAUGCCCGGGGUUCCUAUUGAUAUGCCAAAAUAUGCCUUCUCAAAUGUCCAUUACGAAAACACCGGAGUCGCCUCCUCCUGCUUCAACCUCGUCUGACUAUUGGGCAUAAUCAAGCUAGUGGCUCAUAGCAGGAUGCGGCUAUUUUGCUGUGGCUAUGCUGCGAUCCUAUCCUGGUUAUGUUAUGUUCUCAGUGAGCUUCAAUUUACUGCUCCAGCAGUUUAUCAAGGGACAAGAUAUUUUCUUUGUUUUUUUUUUUUUGCUAGUUGAGGUGUUGAAAGUAUUUAUUCUGUAUCUAAUUACCUUCACAACCCUACUGUUCUCGGUUGCUUUUUGAUG